UUCAUUUUACUGUUUGUUACCUUUCAUGUGAUAGUAUGCCUUCAUUUCUUCUGAUCUUGGCCUCUUCUCCUUGAGAGAUCUGUCUUCAUCCUGUUGCUCUGUCCUUGGUGUUUGAAUAUCCACUGCAGUACACUUGGUGAAGGCCUGGAAAGUCUGGGAGGGAGUUCUCUCAGUUUUUUGCCUGUCUUCAUUUUUCGGAAGGUCACUGCUGAGCACCCUGCAAAGUCCUAGAGUGACUCAGAGGAAUUUCCCUCAGUUCUCCUGUCAGUUGUUUCCUGUGUUGUAUGCAGUGAGUCUCCAUGCAUCUCAAAGGGAUCUUUCUCAGACUCCUGCCCCAUUACAAGCCUUUGGAAUGCCAUCCUCAUGCACUUGGUGAAGGCCUGUUGCAAAGAGUUGGUUGGUGAUCGACUAACUCACCCUAGAUGUUUACAAUUCAUUAAAAGCUUGUCUGGUUUCUCUUUUCCCCAUCUAUGGUGCAUCUUUGUCUUCUUCCCCAGGAAGAGUUUGCCACUUUCUGGAAUUUAGUUAAUUUGAGCUGCUUUAUGUAAUCACCUCUCUGAUGUGCUUCCAAAAGACUAUGACUUUGUAGCAUACCUGGCUUGGUCUUGUUAUGGUGGAAACGAUAGUCUUUUCUGACUUUCUACAUCCUGACUGGGAACUGCAUCAACGAAUACCCUGAACUAUGAGUAUUAUUAUUUCAAUUGAGUUCUUGUUACAAGACCUGUUAAACUUUCAACACCAGUGAGUUCUCACCAUCCUCCACACCCGCUCCCCACCCCAUCAGCCACUUGGUUGCUGGGUCUUAAAUGCUCAUAGAGUGUGCUAGACUCAGUUUUUGUGUAGGAUUCAAAGAGCUCUCAGGAAAAAUAGUUUUGGCUGUUAAAGAAAAGAGUCCAGGGAAGCAGAUUCUUGCAUGUGAUGGUUAGGACUGGGUGCUCUCUAAUUGUGGGCUUCACGUUUUGAGAAAGAAUGAAAACUUCUAGCCUAGGUGACACACCCUGGCCAGGACUUGUUACAGCAGCUAGUGUUUAUUGGCCACAGUAUUUUUCAUGUCCUGGUUCUGGCUGCCUGUUGUCUUGUCCCCAGUAAGAGGAUUGGUCACAACAGAAGUGGGUAAAAUAGGAAUAAUAAAACCUAUCCUACAGGAGUGGUAAUGAUAACAUGAGGUAAUGUCUGUGACACAGAUUGCAUGUAAUAGAUGUUUAAUAAAUACAACCUCUUAUUACCUUUAGUUAGAAGAAAGGGGCUCUCAGAAUUGAGAAUGUCUCAUUUUUAUGUAGAGAUUGUAUGGGACUGUUCAGAACUCGUGUAGUGAGUAAUUCAAUUUAAACCUCACCCCACUGAAUUCAAACCUGGUUAGAGAGCUGGUGAGGUGUGCCCAACAGUAAUCUAUUUUCAUCAUCCACCAUGGAGUAUCCUGCAAAAAGUUCAUACAAGGAAAGAAAGUGUCAGGAGAGUAAGUUUGGUCCAGGCUUCAGGGGCAACUCUAAUCCUAUUCUUACUUAGAUUUCUUUUCUGUUUCAGCUCUUAUGGAUUCCUGUCUUUGUCCUGAGAAGGGAGGAUGCUGUGUAUAAUAAUAGUUAUUUUUAUUUUGAUCUAAAAUCAUUUUAUGUUGAAAUUAAGAUCUCAAAGGGAUCUACACUCUCAUACUGCAGCAUUACUCAUAACAGCAAGAUACAGAAACAACUUAAAUAUCCAUCAAAAGAUGAAUGGAUAAAGAAAAUGUGGUAUAUACAUACACUUCAAUAUUAUUCAGCCUUAAAAAAGGAAAUCUUGCCAUUUGUGACAACAUGGAUGAAUCUGGAAGACAUGCUAGGUGAAAUAAGCCCGUCACAGAAGGACAAGUACUGCAUGAUUCUUCUUUUAUAAGGAGUCUUCAACUGCCUGAAGAGUCCUGGGCCCAGGAGAUGAUGGGAUUGACCAAGACAGAGGGCUUGUUCUCAUGGCUGAGACUCUUGUGGCUGAAGCUGCCCUCCAGCAAAGAGAGGGCCUCCUCUGACUAUUUCAUUAUUUGCUUUGACACAGAAAUUGUGGACUCAAGGUGCCGGCUGGAUGGUGGCAGGAAGCACAGUUGCGUGACUUACCACCCGACAAAAGGCCCAAGAGCCGACAAAGGAUGACACAAAUCAGGAGAAAAGGAAACUGGUGAACACGCUAUGGUGGUGAGCAUAACUUGGUUAUGUGCCCAUGUGUGGUCAUCCUGCUCCAUUGGGGCAGAGUGGAAACUCUGAAAAAGGUUUUUUAUUAAUUUCCUAGGGCUGAUGUAAAAAAUUACAACUGGGUGGCUUAGAGCAACAGCUAUUUAUUCUCUUACAGUUCUUUAGGCCAGAAGUCCUCAAUCAAAGUUUUGGCAGGGCUAUACUUCCUCUGAAGGCUCUAGGUGACAGUCUGUUCCUUGCCUCUCCUGGGUUCUGGUGGCUGUUGGCAUUCCAUGUGGCUGCAUUACCAAAAUCUCUACUUCUGUCUUCACAUUGAUCUCUCCUCUGUGUGUUUCAAAUCGCCCUGUGCCUUUUUCUUAUAAGGAUACUUGUCAUUGGAUUUUGGAUCCACCCAGAUAAUCCAGGAUGAUCUCAUCUCAAGAUUCUUAGUUUAAUUACCUCUACAAAGACCCUUUCC